rnacentral:rRNA from 1 species
GACGUAGGGUGCAAGCGUUGUCCGGAGUUACUGGGCGUAAAGGGCGCGUAGGCGGCGCGUCGCGUCGCACGUGAAAGCCCCCGGCUCAACCGGGGAGGGUCGUGCGAAACGGGCGUGCUUGAGGCAGGGAGAGGCGAGUGGAAUUCCCGGUGUAGUGGUGAAAUGCGUAGAUAUCGGGAGGAACACCAGAGGCGAAGGCGGCUCGCUGGCCCUGACCUGACGCUGAGGCGCGAAGGCGUGGGGAGCGAACGGGAUUAGAAACCCCAGUAGUCC